UUAUUAUCAUUAUUAUUAUUAUUAUUAUUAUUACUACUAUAACCUCCCAAAAGGCUACCCGAUGGUCUCACUAGAAAUAAGUAUGGAUGCAUUACUUGUGAAUGUGCAGGAGCUUCAAGUGUCACUGUUGGGUUCCUUAGCCUUGUGGUUAUAAUAUUCAGCGCAGUUAACAAUUUGGUUUAAAAUAACACUUGUUGAACAGUUUUUCUUUUUGUAAAUGUAUAGUUUGUUCGUUUUUGGCUUGUGGUACCUGUACUAGAUGAAGUCCCCUAGAUAUGUCGCAUAGCAUUGUAAUUGUUUUGCAUUUAUAGUCCGUGUACAGCAGUUCGUGGAAUCGUUUCACACAAAAAGAAAGAACAGAAAAUUGUGACCAAAUCAUUGCUGGUUAGGAAUAUUACACUCACGAUUUUAACCCCAUUCUGGCUUCAUGAGCCAAGUUCUCGCUUCGCUCGGCCUUAGUACUGCAAACUGCAUUCCACAUGUACGAUAUAAAAUGUUUACAACUUAAAAUCACUUGAAGGGGUUACUUGCUAAUUAUCAGUACAUUUUAUCUGGGAUAUGGUAUGAGAAGCCCGUGAAAGGAUUCUGACUUUGCUGUGGUGCAACCAACUCUUUGACCAGCUGGGCAAAAAGCCGUUAUCAUCAACGAUAAAUAUAUAAAUGAAUGAAUGAAGAACAUGAAUAGAUGGUCUUAAGCAGAGGGUACGCUUACUUUAUUUCAUCCGACAUUAGUGUAUACCUUUUAAGCGCUAUUCAAUUGAUAUUCAUUUGGUUUCGUCAUUUUCUAGUUCAAAUACUCAGUGUCUGAUAGUUUUACUCUUAACUAAUAAAUCCACUUGAAAUGAAAUAAAAGGUGUAAGAUCAUUGAAGUUUUCAAUAUGAUAUAAAUG